GGCUCAGGAUGAACGCUAGCGGCAGGCUUAACACAUGCAAGUCGAGGGGCAGCGCGGGGUAGCAAUACCCUGGCGGCGACCGGCGCACGGGUGCGUAACGCGUAUGCAACCUGCCCGUAACAGGGGUAUAACGGCGGGAAACUGCCACUAAUCCCCCCAUAUUGUCACCCUCCCGCAUGGGCGGGUGACGAAAGCUUUCUUGCGGUUACGGACGGGCAUGCGUGACAUUAGGUAGUUGGCGGGGCGACGGCCCACCAAGCCGACGAUGUCUAGGGGAGCUGAGAGGCUUAUCCCCCACACUGGUACUGAGACACGGACCAGACUCCUACGGGAGGCAGCAGUGAGGAAUAUUGGUCAAUGGGCGGAAGCCUGAACCAGCCAUGCCGCGUGGAGGAAAGACGGCCCUACGGGUUGUAAACUCCUUUUGCCGCAGAGUAAUAAGGCUCACGCGUGGGCUGAUGAGAGUAUGCGGCGAAUAAGCAUCGGCUAACUCCGUGCCAGCCGCCGC
rnacentral:rRNA from 1 species